rnacentral:tRNA from 1 species
GGCCCUGUAGCUCAGAGGUAGAGCAGUGAAUUAAAAAUUCUCGUGCGCUGGUUCGACUCCAGCCAAGGCAUCAA